rnacentral:rRNA from 1 species
UACGUAGGUGGCGAGCGUUGUCCGGAUUUACUGGGCGUAAAGGGAGCGUAGGCGGACUUUUAAGUGAGAUGUGAAAUGCUCGGGCUCAACUUGAGUGCUGCAUUUCAAACUGGAAGUCUAGAGUGCAGGAGAGGAGAAUGGAAUUCCUAGUGUAGCGGUGAAAUGCGUAGAGAUUAGGAAGAACACCAGUGGCGAAGGCGAUUCUCUGGACUGUAACUGACGCUGAGGCACGAAAGCGUGGGGAGCAAACAGG